GCCGCUUCUUGCUGCUGAUGAGUUGUGGUUGUUGUUUUCUAUUUAUUAGUUUCUGUAUUUUGGCGGCUUUUUAACGCUCUGUUGAGUUUUGGUUUGAAGAGAGAGAACCAGUAUCUAUGGCUGGAAGUAAUGAAGUCAACCUCAAUGAAUCUAAGAAUUGGAUUGCGGCAGGAGUCGAUGAAACAUGCAACGCUUUCAGAGAUUACUGGGUGAUGUACGUGAACCUGGUGGAUUAGACGAUGCGAAGCAAAUGUUCGAUGAAAUGCUUGAAAGAGACUUUAUUUCUUGGAAUUCUAUGAUGGUUAGGAAAUUUUUGAAAUGCCAUGUAUGAGGAGGCUGUCCAGGUACGUUUUGAUGAUUCAGGUUGUCCAUGUAUCCUUAACUUCUAAUCAUUCUCUUUUGCCAUAAAGGCUAGUAGUGCUCACUUGGACUUGAUUAUUAAGACAUUCGAGUUUGAAAGUGAGACAUUGAUUGAAACUAAAGCUAUGGAUAUAUGUAUGCAUUAAUAAUAAGGUGGUUAGCUUGUGCAGAGAGUAGUUUUGAGGAUUUCAUGCUCGAGUUUGUUUGCUAAUUAUGGCGCUGAAAGGGCUUUUGACAUGUUCGACCAGAUGCCAAAACGUGUCACUCUGUCUUGAAGCACUAUGAUUUCGACAUUAUCUCGUGAUGGACUUGGAAUUUCAACUCUUACUCUGUUUUGCGCGCAUUCUUAAUGUAUGCACCAAAAUUGGGUUGCUCGUUCUGUCUAGUACCAACAGCAAGGUUGCCUUGACAUUUAUGGAGAGGUUAACUAAUUUAUAAAAGGGGAAGGGGA
rnacentral:lncRNA from 1 species